rnacentral:lncRNA from 1 species
CAGGACUUCAUAUGGAUACCCGUAGAAGCCGGACGCGUGUGCGGCUGCCAAGCAUCAUGAAGAACCAUCUACCAUAAAUUUCAAAUGCGGUGAUCUACUAUCCAUGCUCAGGUAAAAAGUUUUGUAUUCAAUCAAUAUUUAGAUAUGAUCUAAAUAUAAAUUAAAUAUGUCCUGUAAUUACUGAAUUUUAGAUUUCAGAUGUACAUACAUGC